UGGUUCUGGCAUNGAUGAAGAACGCAGCGAAAUGCGAUAAGUAAUGUGAAUUGCAGAAUUCAGUGAAUCAUCGAAUCUUUGAACGCACAUUGCGCCCCUCGGUAUUCCGGGGGGCAUGCCUGUCCGAGCGUCAUUGCACCCCUCAAGCGUAGCUUGGUGUUGGGCGUCGGCUCCCUGCCAAGGGCCGUGCCUGAAAAGUAUCGGCGGUCCGGGACGACUCUUGAACGUAGUAAAUCUCCUCGCUCAGAGAGCUCGCACCGUGGCCAGCCUAGCGCUAUGUGAAUUUCCUGACGAUUGACCUCGGAUCAGGUAGGGAUACCCGCUGA
rnacentral:misc_RNA from 1 species